CGGGGGGUGGGGGCAGGGGCAGGGGUGGGCGCGGGCCGGCGGCCCUGCGGAGGGCCCCUCGGGCCUCCAGGUGCUUCGCGGGGUGGCCCUUGGACGGGCCUGCCGGGGGCUGGCAGGCCCGUGCACUUGCCCUGGCGUCUCAGAAAGACCAGCGUUUGAUCUGGAUUCCUGGCCACGCCUUUUUGGCCCGGAGAGGCCUGGGUCCUGCUGUUUGCCUGUCUUCAUCCCUGGUUUCGCACUUAGCGGAGACCCUGCCUCCUCCUCCUCUCCCCUCCUCCUCUGCAGAACUCUGUAUCCCUGUUGUCCCCUUGCCUUCCAUCCCAAGGUAACCAGCCGCUAGCGCUUUCUCUCUGCACCCGGGUUCGCGUCCUGGCGCGCAGGGCUCCGCGGGUGUGUGUGUGUGUGUGUGUGUGCGCGCGCGCGUGUGUGCGUGCCUUCCUGGAGCCGGUUUCACUCGGUUUUGUCCCCCAGCGAAACAUCGUCCCCUGUCCCCCUCGUUUUCUCGCCGCAGUGGCUUGUGUGGGGGCCCAGUGGAAGAACCCCCGCUGCCUCUCCUUUAUUCCACGCCCCCUCCCCCUCCUGCAAUCCCAGCCCCUGCCAGGGACUCCCGGCCGCUGCCCUCCUUGAGGGAAAGGACUUUUUGUUUUUGGUUUUGCUGGAUUAGACGUGCCCUUUGCUCAGUGACGGGUAAAAAUCGGGUAGUGUGUGACGAGCGGAAGCGUUCGGUGUUCCCUCUCACGUCCAGAAAAUCAGUCCCCUGGACGCUUGGGUCACUGUUCGGGUUGCCAGGCCGGUGUCUGACUCCUGGGUAUGAGGAGUAUUGAUGUUGGCUUUGCAGCCCUUUCCUCUUUGGCGAUGUUUCUCUUCUGCGAAGUGAUCCCUGGAAAACCACUUGCAGAUGCUCUUUUUGCCAGGAGCUCUGACUGCCUACUUCACCUGCUAAACCCAGGGAACGAGCUCGUUAAAACCUUAGUACAUCUGCAGCCUGCGACUUACAGCAGCUUGAGAGCAUGGUGGGAAUCGUAAGUUUAGGUGAGAGCAUUCGCAGGAGGAAAAAUCUUACCGAAGGUAAAUGACACAGGGGAGAGCUCUUCAGGUACAAGGCUUCUGGGAGAAGACAUUUUCCCAGACUGCCAUCCCUUGGAGAUGUGAUGCACUCAGUAUUUCAGGUCACCAAGAUAGAUUCAGGUUCUUAAACCUACUAGAUUUUAGGCAACUCAUUUUGGAUCCCUAAGCUAGGCUCAGGUUCCUACACCCCGGGGGGGAUUUUAGGCACUGUAUAUUUCAGGUGGCUGAGGUAGACCCUGGUUAGCUGAAAUUGAAUUCAUUGUCUUUUGAAUGGUGUGUCCUGAUCUCUGUUCAGAAUUUUAAAUAAAGGGAAGAAUGGAAAGGAAUGAAGUUACCUGGAGAGUGAAUUCCAGAACUUUGUCCUGCAGAAUUUACAUGCAGAUUCUGGAGCGGGAAGGGAGGGUGGGUCUGGAUUCUGCUGGUUCUCCCGGGGCUGUGCUGGUGUCCCUAGGUUGUUUGCAGCCCUUUUCUCUGGCUGCAUUUGUCUGCAGAUAAUUUGUUUCCUGCUGAUAUAUUUAUAAGAAGAGGGAAGAUAAAAUAGAAAAAGUGAUGACUAACUUUUACCUGUUAUGAAUAUAAUUUGGAAACUGGUAGGAUGCACAGCAUGAAGAAGAAGAGGGACAAAAAGUACAGGAGAGAGAGAUUUUGAACAGCAUGUAUGUAACAACUGGACCAACACACUGAAGUCAUCUAGGUUUAUGUCUGAGAUUCCUUAAGUGUAAAGUACAAAGGUUGGUGUUGGGUUAGAAUCCCUGAGAGAACUGUUGCUGUUGUAAUCCGGCCUGGACGUUUUUAUGAGUAGCGCACUUGUGGGACGGAAUAAAUUCGGGGUUGAGCUUCACCAUCUCUUUAGGCAGACUAAUUCCCCGCCUCCCCUCAGCUGAUUGCCUUCAGGCAGAGUUCAUGGAAGCCCAGGUUUGAGGACAACUGAAAAUUACAAUCCAAGUGUAAAUUUAGCUUUCGUAGCUGUUUAAAUAAGGUACUAUUUUUUCGAUCUUUAUUUCACUUUGAAGGCCUGUGUGUGUGUGUGUGUGUGUAAAUCUAUAUACUUUUAUAUAUAUACACACAUACACAUAUACAUGAACUUAAAGGAUGCUGUGUUUUGGCUGUGUCUACUUUAUGAAAGUUAUUUUUUGAGAUUAGAAUGUCUCAAGUAUUUCAUAAAGUUAAGAUAUUAAAAGGCAGGCUAAUUCAGCUAAGUUAUUUCUUCUACCAUAGCUAUACUUUAAAAGUAAUACUGAAGAAGGAUUUUUUAAAAAAUUUUAUUUUUCCAGUAGGCUGAUUUUACUCGAAAUACUCGAGGAGCAAGAUCUGCUUUUUUAAUACGUGCUAGCAUGUUGCUUGCAUCAAAAUCAUUCAUGUGUAAGAGCUUUAGAGGAAGAUUUUUAUUCUUUAAUCUUUUGGCAAACGUUUGCUUGUUGGUGUGUGUAAGCAUACAUCAUCCUUUACUGUGGGUCUUUUGAGGUUACGGUUGUUUCUUUUAAUCAUAUUUGCUACUUAGAUUUUGUUCUUUCCUGUGGUCACAUGACAUAAAGGUUCUGUAUGGUCAGGGAAUUUUAUCAUUUGAUUUGGGCCGCAUGUCUAAGAAAAGAUGUCAGUGAGGCUGUGCGCUGUCAAGACUGAUGCAUUAAACCAUGACUACCUCUGCUCACCUACUUCUCCUUGUUGUCCUGGAGAAGUGUGGGACUCUCAUUGGGCAAAACACAGUGCCAAUUUUGGAAAAUGCAGUGUCCUGUGCCAAGCAGGUGGCACGCUUCCUGUCAAGAGGGCAACCACUUGACAUCUCUUUCACCAGAUGACCUCACAACGUGAGAAAAUAUUAUGGGCUGGGCCAAGAUUGGAGCAAGGGCGAGUAGCUGUCUGUGGGAGGGUUUGGUGUGGUGAACCUGUGUCUUCAGAGCGAGCACCUGUGUGAUUACGGUCUGUUUCAGGCCAACUUUCCCCUCCCUAAUGACAGAACGUGCAGCUUGCUCUGUGGCUCUGGGUGCUCUGUUUUUGUGUGCUUUUCCCAGGGAUGAUGGGCGUCUGAGUCACCCAAACCAGGAAUAUGAGUCACAUGAGGCUUCAUUUUUGCACAGUGUGGUGUUAUUAGAAAGUGCGAUCAUUUUCUUGGAUGUUUGACAUUAGGAAUCCUGUUGUUGUACGUGUUUUCCUUCCAUGUAUAACUUCCUUUGAUUUUGUGCACCUUUUAGAGGGUGCUUAAGGUGUGCCUGUGGUUGUCAGCAAUUCUCUGACUAAAAUUUCAUGUGAGUGCAUGAUGUCUCAGACAAAUCAUUAAUCUCCCUUUUAAUCUAUUUUUAUGUCUGUGUGUGUGCCCCUGUGUUUCAUGGAAUAAAGUAGCAUUUAAAUUCUUUGUGGUGUUGCCCAUUUUCAAAGUGAAGGUCAGCUGUCUCUUCUCUUGGUAGGAGAAGGAGGGUAGAGGUUGCUUUCAAGGCAGAGAAAGGGAAAGUCGUUUCACAUUUCAUCAGGGCGCCAUCCCCCUGCACGGUGGAAAGCUGUGUUUCAGUGUUUUGUUCUGUUCUGAGACUUCUCUGUUAUACAGGGUUCUCUGUAUAAUCAGUGGUGAAUGUUGCUAUACUGAGUAGGAUGCUUUCUUUAGCCAGUCCCCCUGCCCCCUCCUCCACUUCCAUAUGUAGGAAUACUAUGGAUCUUUGCUUAUGUUGAAUAUUUAAAAAUAGUAGUUCUUAAUUCUGGCUGAGAAUAGAACUUACUGCAGCUUUAGAAAUCGAAGUGCCCAGCGCGGCUGCAGUGCUGAAGAGGCCUCCCACGCGGAACCCGACCACAGUUCUGGAAGCUCCACAGGUGAUCGGGUGGGCAGGCCGGCUUGAGAAUUGGGUUUCAGGCUUCUUGCGCUUGAGGAUGGAUGUUGGAUUUGUGUUCUUAAUGUGAUGAGACGUUUGGGGAAGGAAUGAUUUGGCACUGUGAGCUUUGGACCCUGGACAACGCCGCCGCCGUAACAGUGCCUGCACCUCGAAAGCGUGGGUGUCUAAGAGUACUUGGGAAUGGCCCAGGGGUGUGCGGUUAAGGUUCCCAGUGUUUUCUGUUUCUUUAAGCCCAAUUAUGAAUUUCAUUCUGAAAGGAUUCUCUGAUUCAAAACAGUCUUCAAUUAAUGUGGCCCACUUCUUUGGCUUUUAUGUGAUACAGAUAGCACUUUUAUGAAUAUGUUGCAUGUAAAAGUAUAAUCUGUUUAAUUUUGAAGUGAUGGACUUACAGUGGUGUUAAGUGAUUGGUAAUGCCCCUGUAGCGCUAACGUGUGUGUUGUGAUUUAAGAAUGGAAAUAUAUUUUAUAAAUAAGGAAAUUCUCUUGUGUGGCACCAGGGUGCCUGCCACAGUCACAUUAAAGACUGUAUAUACAUGUAUUUGUGUGUGUGUGUGUGUGUGUUGGGAACUUUGUAUCUGCUUAUUAAUUGUUGGGAACUCUCAAUGCUGUAAAAGUAGCAUUUUUUUUUUUUUUUUUUUGACAGGCAGAGUGGACAGUGAGAGAGAGAGACAGAGAGAAAGGUCUUCCUUUGCCGUUGGUUCACCCUCCAAUGGCCGCCGCGGCCGGCGCCCUGCGGCCGGCGCACUGCACUGAUCCGAUGGCAGGAGCCAGGUGCUUUUCCUGGUCUCCCAUGGGGUGCAGGGCCCAAGGACUUGAGCCAUCCUCCACUGCACUCCCUGGCCACAGCAGAGAGCUGGCCUGGAAGAGGGGCAACUGGGACAGAAUCCGGCACCCCGACCGGGACUAGAACCUGGUGUGCCGGUGCCGCAAGGUGGAGGAUUAGCCUAGUGAGCCGCGGCGCCGGCCAAAAGUAGCAUUUAAAGAAGUUUAUCCGUAAACUUAAUGGAAUUCUGGUUAAAAAUUCAGCAGAUUCCUUCCUUCCUUCCUUCCUUCCUUCCUCUUCCUCUUCCUCUUCCUCUUCCUCUUCCUCUUCCUCUUCCUCUCUCUCUCUCUCUCUCUUUAGGAGAAAGGAGUGAAUUUGGUCUAAGAAAAGUGAAUGUGAGUAGUCCAAAAAACUUUAAAAAAAGAUACUGAGACUUACCUGUUCGUAUGUGUGCUUUAGUUUCACUGGUAGACCAUCGCGCCGUUGGUGGAAGAAUUCAACGCGGUGCAGGAGAAUGGAUUCUGUGGAGCCCAGUAAUGCUGUGUUCGUGAGGAUUUAGUAUAUGGCGAAGGUGGCGUUUCUAAUCAGUGAAUGCAAAGAUAGUUUCUUAACAAGUGAUACUGGGGCAGUUGACUACCUGGUUGAAAAAAAAAAGAUGGAUCUCUACCUUACCCGAAUAAAAAUUCUAAAAGAAUUAAAGAUGGAAACAAAAUAUUACUGUAAAACCACUGGAAGAAAAUGGCAGUGGGCAAGAUCUUUCGGCCCCACAUAAAGAUGCCUCAUAUGAUUUUUCCCUUUCUCCUACCUGAAAAAUCUUAACUACAUGGUUAGCUAUGAGGGUAGAAAGAUGUAGACAGAAAUACUUCCUCAAGGAGAAUGACUAUAAAGAGUACUUCGCUGAAGAUAAUUUCUUUUCUUGGUGAUUAGUAAAAGUAAAAACGUGAAAUUUAUGGUGAAUUUUCAAAGAAUGUGAUGAAAAAAUGGCUUGCUUUGGAGUAAAGUUGUAACUAGUGGUGAAGCGUAGAAUUUUUAGAAUGAUCCAGAAACAACAUCAACAUUUAUAUCACAGAAGUCUAGUCUGGAUUCUGAAAUCCACUAGGAAUAUGUCAGAAAUCACAGGUGUUCAUAGCAAUGUCAUUUGCUUAGAUUUUUACAGACUUUAUCCAUAAGGGCAGUCAGUUAGGCUGAUGUAAGGAGAACAUUCUGGAAUGUUGGAAUGAUUCUGUGGGAUGUGAAAGUGUUGCUUUAGUCAUGGGAUGGUUGAUGUUCCGGUUUACUCUGUGCAAACAAGUCUGUGACUAAAAUUUCAGUUUAGUCUCCAUGAUCUAUGUAUCUAGUUCCUUCUAGUCAGAAAGUCUGCAUUUCUUAUUUGGCUCUGAAAGAGUUAAGCAUUUUGUUAAAUUAUGAAACUAAUUUCAUUUAAAAAGUUCAAUGAAUUGUCUAAUUGCCUAAAGACCACUAUUGGAGAUUUAAAAAAAAAAUCACAGGAUAAAACAUGGCAUAAAGGAAGCACACAUUGAAGCUAAGAAAUCAGGUUUGUCACUCUGCAAUUUACAAACAGCUGCUGGUUUCAGAUUCCCCAUAUUUAUCAAAUAAGGAGUUAAAUUGAUCUCUCAUGUCCCUUCAGUUUUAAAAAGUCCAUUGUAUCAUAGGUAUUAGUGUUCUGAAAAAAGUUUAUUUUUCAUUUUUUUAAAAUACUUAUUUUUUGAAAAUUUAUUAUUAUUCAUUUGAAAGUCUCUCUAAAGAGGGAGAGACAGAGAUCUUUCAUUCACUGGUUCACUCCUUAGAUGGCCAUUGCUGGGCCAGGUGGAAGCCAGGAGCCAGAAGCUUUUCUGCCAUUCUCCCACAUGGGAGCAGGGCCUGUGCACCUGGGCCCUCCUCCACUACUUUCCCAGGCCACCAGCAGGGAGCUGGAGCGGAAGUGGAGCAGCUGGGACACAAACCAGCACCCACAUGGGAUGCUGGCAUUGCAGGCAGUGGCUUUAACUGCUAAGCCAAUGCUGGCCCUGAAAAUAGUUUUUUUUUUUUUUUUUUAAAGAUUUAUUUAUUUGAAAGGCAGAAUUACAGAGAGAGGGAGAAAGAGAGAGAGGUCUUCCAUCUGCUGGUUCAUUCUCCAGAUAGCCACAGUGGCCGAGCUGGGCCGAUCCGAAGCUAGGAAGGAGCUUUUUCCAGUGCACUUCCGCCGUCUUGCUGCUUUCCCAGGCCAUUAGCAAGGAGCUGGAUCAGAAGUGGAGCGACUAGCACUCAAACUGCUGCCCAUAUGGGAUGCCAGUGCUGCAGGCGGAGGCUUUACCUUCUACACCACAGCGCCAGCCACUCUUUUUUUUUUUUUAAAGAUUUAUUUUACUAUUUGAAAGAGUUACAGAGAGAGGCAGACACAGAGAGGUUCUCCAUCUGCUGGUUCACUCCCCAGAAGGCCGCAAUGGCCGGAGCUCUGCUGAUCCGAAGCCAGGAGCCAGGAGCUUCCUUUGGGUCCCCAUCGCUAGUGCAGGGCCCCAUGCACUUGGACCACCUUCCACUGCUUUCCCAGGCCAUAGCAGAGAGCUGGAUUGGAAGAGGAGCAGCCAGGACUAGAACCUGUGGCCAUAUAGGAUGCUGGUGCCCCAGGCCAGGGCCUCAACCCGCUGUGCCACAGCACCAGCUCUGUCCCUCAUUAUUUUUAAAUAAAGAUUAUUUAUUUGAAAGGUAGAGGAGGAUGGGGCAGGAGAAGAGACAGAAUUCUUCUCACCACUGGUUCACUCCCCAAAUGGCUGCAACAGCCAGGUCUGGGCUAGGCUGAAGCUAGGAGCCAAGAUUACUCCAUCCUGGUCUCCCACAUGUAUGGCAGAUACCCAAACACUUGGGCCGUCAUCUGCUGCUUUCCCGGGAGCAUUAGCAGGAAGCUGAAUCAGAAGCAGAGCAGCUGGGACUUGAAUCAACACUCUCAUAUGGUAUGCUGGUAUUAAAAGUGGAGGUUUAACCUGCUGCAGCAUAGUGCCCAGUCCCCUCAUUGUUUUUAUUUUACUUAAAGAACUUGAUUUCCAUUUUACUUGAAAGGUAGAGAUAAAUAUAGAGAUGAGAGAUCUUCUCUCUGUUCGUUCAUUCCCCAAACAUCUGCAACAGCCAGGGCUGGGCCAGGCUGAAGCCAGGAACCUGGAACCCAAUUCAGGUCUCCCCACAUUGGUGCCAGGGACACAUACUUGAACAUUAUCUGCUUCAAUUAGCUAGAAUCUGCAUUGGAAGUGGAGGAAGGAUGCAGGUGUCCUAAGUGUUGUCUUAACUGCUGGGUCAAGUGCCCUCCCCAAAUCCUCAUUACUUUUAAUACUUUGUUAUCUAUAGGGGCAUUUAUGCAUCUCACUGGUUUAUGUUGAAUUUAUAGCAGACCAUGCUUCCUGGGAAUCUUGUUUCAUGCUAGUGUAUCAGCAGAUUUUGUGAAUUUGGUUUCAAGUUAAAGCCAGUUUUCUGUAAUUUUCAGUUUAAACUUUUUGCUGUUAGAAUAAGCUAACCCAAUGCAUAUAUCUGUUCAAGGCAUAUAUUUUGUAAGAUUUUUCUAAAGUGCUUGCCAAGAUUAUUUCCAUUUUAUAGAAGGACCACAAAAUUAUCUGCGAUUUAGUGUUUGCUGUGUGUUCUUUAACUUUGAAAAGUUAGUGUUUAUAGAUCUUAAAAAAUACUUUCCACAUCAUUUUUGAGCUUUUCAAGGAAAUAUUCAUAAUUCUAAGUGAUUUAUUUUUCUUAGAUUAAGUAUAGGUUCUCUUUGUGGUUUUAAUCUUUGGGAAAGAUGGAAUUUGCUUGGAGGGUUCAGUGAACAUUUUACAAAAUUGUUUAUUUCUACAUAAAAUUCAACCUUAGAUUUUAUUUUUAUAGCUUAAUAUGGAUAGGUCUUGGUAUGUUGUAUUAUUUUAAUAUAGCUUUAAAACAAGUCAUAGCACCUUAACAUACUUGGUUUAUUGCUAAAAAAUUAUUGUAUGUCUUUUUAUUUUGAAAUAUACAAGUGGUUUUCAAGAUAAUUUUUGUUUGCAUGCAGAAUUUGUCUUUAUUUAAUGUGAGAAAGUGUUUCUAUUAUCUUGAUCAUUACAGAGCAUGGAUGUGCUCAUCACUCAUUUUUUUCUUUUUAUUUGGAAGUCAGAGUUACAGUGAGAGAUGGAGAGAGAGGGAGAGCGAGCUUCCAUCUGCUGGUUCAUUCCCAAGAUGGCUGCAGUAGCCUAGGCUGAGCCAAGCUGAAGCCAGGAACCAGGAGCUUCAUCUGUGUCUCCCAUGUGGUGGGUGCAGGGGCCCAAGCACUUGGGCUACCUUCUGCUACUUUCCCAGGCCAUUAACAGGGAGCUGGAUUGGAAGUGGAGCAGCUGGGAUACCAAUUCGUGCCCAUGUGGGAUGCUGGCAUCACAGGCGGAGGCUUUACCCGGCACACCACAGUGCCGGCCCCUCAGCACUCAUUUCUAGGAAAAAAAAUUAGACUACCUCUUCCACAGGAAGAAAAAGAUAACAGCUUUCUUCACACCACUCUUUGAAGGGAAGUAGGAAUUGAUAAUUAUUGUUUACCCUGGCCACACGCUUUCAAAGAAUAAUGGGUACAUGGCCUAGAAACUUUGUCACUAUUAUACCCCCCCUUUCAUUCCAUCUUAAAAAUCAUGGAAUAAGUGAUCAAAGGGGAGUCAAGAGUGUAGGCACAGCUGACUUCUCUUCAACUGCUUUUUCAGGUGGGGCCCCAGAAUCCUCUGUGUUAUCGUAGCCCAUGGAGCUUGUUAGCAGGCAGACUCCCUGCCUUUCUACAAAAGGGAAUUGAGCCAGGGAAAGUGCAUUUUUGCACAUUCUUUAUUGUGGAAGCUUUUGAGCAUGCAGAGAAGUAGAGGCGUGUACUGAACACCUGUUAUUGUUCAUCCGGAUUCCGUAGUUGUUGAUAUGGAUAGUUGUGUGUGUAUUUAACAUGCAUCAUGAUGGUGAGAACUUCAUCUCAGGUGCGACAUAUGUGGAAUAAUUCUACCUGGCUACAAUGCAAUUUUCCCACCUAAGGAAAUUAACUGUACUUGCAUAAUUACUAAUUCUGUAUAAUCAUCUAAUAGCUGCUUUUGUAUAUGGACUUACUCAGUUGUCCCCAACCAUGUCUUUUGUAAGUUUUUUUCUUCCCUUCCAAACAGGGGUUUUUAUCAAAAUUCAUACUUUACACUUAUGUUUUUGUAGCUAUAGAAACAUUUCUUUUUUCUCCCAUUUUUUUUUUAAAGCAUGCAAUGCUGUUCUCUUGUCUGUUCUCUUUUUGGAUUGCUUAGUUGUUUUUCUGUAGGUGUCAUUUGCCCUGUGUUUCUGAUAAACUUGAACUUGACUUGAGAAGCUAGAUUAUAUUAAGGCUACAUAUUGUUGUCAGAAGUAUUGCCUUGUUUUGUUUUUAAAGAUUUAUUUAUUUGAAAGGCAGAGUUACACAGAGGCAGAGAGAGAGAGAAGUCUUCCAUCCGCUGGUUCACUCCCCAAAUGGCUGCAACCUCCAGAGCUGGGCCGAUCUGAAGCCAGGAGCCAGGAGCUUCCUCUGGGUCUCCCAUGUGGGUGCAGGGGCCCAAGGACUUGGGCCAUCUUCUACUGCUUUCCCAGGCCAUAGCAGAGAGCUGGAUUGGAAGUGGAGCAGCCGGGACUCAAGCCAGUGCCCAUAUGGGAUGCCGGCGCUUCAGGUGGCAGCUUUACCUGCUGCGCCACAGCACCAGCCCAGUACUGCCUUCUUGUUUCAUGUUACAUCACAUCAGUAAGCACCAAUAUACCUGGCUCGUCCUGUUAUUGUUAGUGCUAACUUUUAUCUCUUGGAUAGGUUCUGAUGCUAGAUUUCUCCAUAUAAAGAACACUCUUCUUUUGGCAAUCAGUAACUUAUGCAUGGGGUCUUACUCUGCAAGAGUCUUGUUUCCUGUAAACCUUUUACCUUAAGGUUUUAGUAUCCAUUGAGAAUCCUUGCCUGAAUCAGUUAUUAAAUUGUUGAUUGGCUGGGGGUGGAGGUGUGUGAUGGGAUUUGUAUUUUAAUUUUAUUAUUAUUUUUGACAGGAAGAGUUAGAAAGUGAGAGAUAGAGACAGAGAGAAAGGUCUUUUUGACAGGAAGAGUUAGACAGUGAGAGAGAGAGACAGAGAGAAAGGUCUUCCUUUUCCGUUGGUUCACCCCCCAAAUGGCUGCUACGGCCGGCGCGCUGUGCCGAUCCGAAGCCAGGAGCCAGGUGCUUCCUCCUGGUCUCCCAUGCAGGUGCAGGGCCCAAGCACUUGGGCCAUCCUCCACUGCCCUCCUGGGCCACAGCAGAGAACUGGACUGGAAGAGGAGCAACGAGGACAGAAUCCAGCGCCCCAACCCGGACUAGAACCCGGAGUGCCGGCGCUGCAGGCAGAGGAUUAGCCUAUUGAGCCGCGGCGCCGGCCGGUAUUUGUAUUUUAAACAAACUCCCAUAAUUCUUUCUUUGAGGUUUGAUAAUCAUAGCUCUACUUGAAUUAGGAUUUACAAGUAAAAAUAAUAAUGAACUGUCCUGAAGAAGUUAGUCUGAAUGUGAGCACUGAUGUUUUCUAACAGAUGGUCAAUGAACAGUAAUGAGUUUAAGCUUCACGCUAGAUUUAGAGGAUCAAAGAUAAAGUAAGCCUCCUGGUUCCCCAGCACCUAGGUUGGGGUUGGAGGGGACUUGUGGGUGAUAGUUGUGGUAAACUGAGGUGAGCAUUCUGAGCAGUAUUAAAUAACGUGUUAGAAUGUGUGACUAGAAUUAAAGGAGUUUGGAGGGGGUAUAGAGAAAUUACUAAGAAGGAAGAGAAAAUGUGUACAAGGGGCUUCAAAAAGCUUAUGGAACGUGAGACUGAAAAAUAGUAUGUGAAUUUGAUGUGAGUUUUUGAGUUGCCUUCAUAUAUUGAAAAUUGUUUUUACAUAAAUGGUCUCAUUUAAUUUUCUCUAGUUUUCCUUGCCCGUUUUACGAUGAAGAAAGGGGUUUAGAGUGGCUAAGUAACCUACGUCUCUGGUAACCAGUGGAGGAAAGUUUGGAGGCAGAGCUUACUGAUGGCAGAAUGAGGCCUGCUGUCUAGGAGACUGCACUGCCUGGAGCCCUGGCAGCCGAGCUGUGGGCAGGCGGAGUUCCUUAGCUUUACUGUGAGACCUCACUGUUUUGGCCUAUUAGAAAGGGAGAUUCUUCCAGGCUUCUGAUUGCCAGUGUAUCGUGUUAGACUCCACAGAGAUUAGGGAGGCUCAGUGCAUUGCAGUUGAUCAUGAUGGUUUCCACAGCUUCGUGUCCCUGGGUCUGCCCUUAGGACAUUGUUUUCAGCACUUGACCCCAGUCUCUUUCUCCGGGUAGAUGCACUUGCGAACUCUGUUAUCUCCACAAACAGGAAUGUGUGUCUUGGACACUACUUAUCCCUGUAGGUCCUAUCUGAAUGCUGCACCCUUGGGUUUGUUCUUUGUCGACUUGUUGGAAACACUGGAGCAACAGUUCUAUCCUUAAGGGUAUAAAACCAGUGUUUUCCAAACCUUGGCUGUGGAAUCACCUAAGGAGUCAGAUAUUUGAGUUCCACUGUCAGGGAUUAUGAGCCAGGAGGUCUGGGUUGGGUCUGAGAAUUUACAUCUUUUAAAGACCUAGGUUUUCAGACAGUUCCCCAAGCAGUGCACAGACAGCAGUUAGUACCAUAGUUGUAGUAGGUUGGUUUCUACCAAUAUUUACAGAGGUGGUUCCCAAGGAGGCAUGUGCAUUAGGAUCGCUUGGGAGGUUUCUGUUUUUUUUUUUUUUUCUGGUAAACUUAAGCUUUAGGCAGGUUAGAGGCAGAGGAGUGGAAUGUGUAACAGAAGCUCUGCAGAUGCUUUUAAUGAAACACCAGAGUAUAAACAGGCUCCGAUUGGGUCUCUUACCUGAAAUAGCUUGGUAAAAAGUGUGUAUUAAUCAAACACUCACAAUUGCUGUAUGUGUACCAUGCCUAACAUCUAGAAUACCGUGAGAACAUUUCGUGUUAAAGCUGUAUGAUGUAUGAUGUGGUAUUCCUUUGAUUCAGAAGCUUCCUUGGCUAUUUGAAGUAUUCAGAGUCGUUAUGAACACAGUGGUCACCAUUGGUGCUCAGAAGUGCCAGAUUAGGGGCAUUUUAUUGUGUUGGGAAAAUCGACAUUCAGUCUAGAGUGAGUUUUGUCUCUUACAUUUUCAGAAAUGAUUGUUAUUUGUUGAAAUCAGUGCCAAAGAUAGGAUUCCUAAAAAGAAGCUGUUGAAUGAAAGUAGAGAAGGGAUCUAAUGGUUAAUAAAUGAGUGUCAUUAGAGAGACAGGAAUGAAGGGAGUAGAGCUUCAUGGAUUCAUGGGGAGAAUAGCUGGUGGGGGGAGGUUAGAGGGGGAGGAGUCAUACAGUAUUUUACUGCUGAUAAGACACUAGGACUGUGUAUUGGCAAGCCUUUCCCAAAUCUACACACACCAAAGUGGAAGCUCAGGGUCAGAAAUCCCAGGAGCUGAGUGGUUGGCAGACAGGGGGCCCAGGAGUGUAUGGACAUGUUCUGGGCAGGCAGGGGUGGAUGCUGUGACAAAUGGAGAUUCUAGAUCAGAUGAGCAAAACUCUGAUUUGUCAUUUUGUUUUGUCAUAAGGAAUGCCACUUUUGAGUAGUCUUCAGCAAUUGAUGGAUAGUCCUGUAGUUUAAGAUUUUGCAGUUUUACCUUCUGUAGGACAGUUUCCCUCAAAGCUGACUCUGGAUGACGACAGUUUGCUUUCCAAAAAUGAUAUUUUCAAAAUUUAAGCAAUGACAAGUGGUUUCAGUUAGACCUGUUUUUGAGGGUGUGCUUUUGGAAUGCAACAAAGGAGAAACUCAAAUGAAGGACCCAUUAAUCUUGUUUGUAGAUUAGACAAAAGUUAUCAAAACAAAGAAGUUAAAAGCAGCUUGUACAUUUGGAAAAAUAGAAUAUUUGUAGUAUUUGUGUACUAAUUCGGAGUUCAGUAGGGACUGCAUAAUCAUUCUUGGGUAGUUUUGAGAUGCAGUAAUUUGUGCGCAGUUUUGGAGGGAAGGGGUUGGUGUCCUUCCUAAGGCGUAAUGGCUACGUGAGAUGGUGGUUGGGCGUGUUCUGUGAUUAGGGUGGAGGCCCGGAAGGCUGCAGUGUAUUACUGUUGUUAUUGCUUGGCGGUCCCACCUCACUCUCUGUAUGUAUUGUAAUGUAGCACAUACCUUGCUGAACCUCUCUGCAAAAUCACACACCAAAAAUAGCAGGACUCGGCGAACAAAAGAGUUAAGGCCAGAGUACUUAAAAUUAUUAAAUUUUGUGGUGUAUUUUGUGGUGUAGCGGGUGGGGCUGCCACUUGCAGUGUCUGCAUCCUAUUUGGGCACUGGUUCGAGGCCCGGCCGCUCCACUUCUGAUCCAGCUCUCUAUGGCCUGGGAAAGCAGUAGAAGAUGGCCCAAGUCCUUGGGCCCUGGCACCCACAUGGGAGACCCAGAGAGACUCUUAGCUCCUGGCUUCAGAUCAGUGCAGCUGCGGCCCUUGUAGCCAUCUGGGGAAUGAAUGAUUGACCUCUUUCUACCCCUGCCUCUCUGUAACUCUGCCUUUCAAAUAAAUAAAUAAAUCUUAAAAAAUUAUUAAACUUUGUAAAAUUGUAAACUUUGCACUAACAAAACACUGACAACCCAAAUAAAAAUACUAGCAGAGCUAACUUCACUGGCAUUUGUACCCCGUAUCACAUGCAGAUGAUUUUAGGCCUUAUUUGAUCCUGAAACAUGUAGAUUCUCACAAACGUUAGCUUCUACCAGAAGCCAGCUUCACCAGAACUGAAGCUGUGUUUCUCUGUGUAUCCUUCACACACACCCCCAGCAUCGCUGGGUGGUAGAUACUGAAGCUACUAGCCAGCCACCUGCUACUUGAACAGAAGGAAAGUGCUUUGAUAAGAUUCUUUUCUUUCUAAUUUUUCUUCCUCCUUUUUUCCUCCUCCUUUCCUUUGCAAGUCUUUUUCAUUAUUUUGUGAAAAAUAUUGCCCUUGGUAACUUCAACACGUUACCACCCAGUAAGAAUUGCACAUGAAGCAGCACUGUUUCCCCACGAUGCUGCUGUUCCCAUUCCUCCAGGCACGCCUGAAGGAGUGCAUGUUACACAAGCACUCAUUGUGGCCUGAGAAGUUCUUGAAUCCAUGAUGCUGUUGAUAUGCAACUCUUGAAAAUGUCAAGGUUCUAUUACCCUGGCAAGUUCUAGUUUGGGAGAUAUUCUGCAGUGUUCCAAGGUUAAGUGACAUUUAUUAUUCUUAUGCUUUGUUAGCCCUUAAAUGCAAUAAAGAAAUGAAGAGGGGCUAUUUUAAUCCACUUUUAAAUUUCGGCUUCUGUUCACCUAUUCAUUGGGUAGUGUGUGAUAAUGUGUUAAUGCUACAUCUGUACUUGAACCAACAGAGAGGGAGCAGGUUGAUUUUCUAUUUUGAUUUAUUCGAAAUGUGGUUAUAGUGAGGCUUUUAUAUUAAAAUUCAUCUGAGCAUACAGUAAACAGAAAAAAAGAGCAACAGUAGCCAGUUGUCAAGGAAGAGACUGAUGGGUAGAAUAAACAGACGCCUUUCUGCAAUAUAAACAAUCUGUUUUCAUAGUUUUUCUUUUUCCUUGUUUUUUUGAAGGAGGAUUGGGAGAACAUCCAAACUAAGUAGAAGUUAGUUAAAUGUGUAAAGCAGUAAGCCCACGAUGUGUAAGUGAUUAUCACAUAUUGUUUCUUCAGUGACUUUAAUAACAGAAAUGUUAGUCACUUGAUAGAAACGCAUUGUCUGGUGUAGGUGGUCCUGGCUGGUGGUGGCUUUGACGUAUUUUGGGGACUUAUCACCCUUAGAAAAUAGAAAGUGGUAUAGAGAUUCGUAAAUAGUUCUGUACUUAGACCAGGUAUCCCCCAGAUUAAGGGGGGCAGAUAUGUCUGUAUGUAAAAUACUAUCAUGUAAAGAGUACAAGAGGCAACUUCCUUUUUUUAAAAGAAAAAUUAUUUGAAAGGCAGAGUUCCAGAGAGGGAGACAGAUUUUUCAUCUGCUGGUUUACUCCACAAAUGCCUGCAACAACCAGGAUUUGGGUCAGGUAGACUCUGGGAGCCAGGAACUCCAUCCAGGCCUCUCACAUUGGUGCUAGGAGCUCAAGUACGUGGGCUGCUCCUUCCAGGUGCAUCAGCAGGAAGCUGGAUCAGGGAUGGAGUAGCUGAGACUUGAACCAGGUGCUCUGACACGGAACACAGAUGGUCCAAGCAGUUAACCCACUGCGCUGCGAUGCCUUUUACAACUCUGAUUUUUAUUGUAAUUCAGAGCUUGUUUCUCUCCAAAGAAAUAUUUUAGAAUUUGUAGGCCAUAUAAGGCCUCUGUUGCUUAGUACCUUUUGAAAAUGUAAAAAAUUGGAAUGGAUGUCGAACCUAGUAAUGAAGCUUGCUGCAAUUUUUGUAUCCCGUUUCAGUGUGGGUUUGAUUCCCAGCUCUGGCUUCUGAACCCAGCUUCCUUCUAAAGCAGAUCCUGUGAAAUAGGGAUGAUAGUUUAAGUAUUAGGUUAUUCUCCUGGCAGAGGGGAGCGCUCUUGAUCUCACUGUCUCUCUCUUAAAUAAAUAAAUAGCCUUAGUGUUGCAUGGAAAUGGACUAACUCCUGUUUUUGUUGGUCAGGUAAAGCAGGUACCUUUAAAAAUUAGUAGCUAGGUUCAGUUGUUUUAGAUGUGAGCCAUACUAAAUACACUAAAUGAGCAUAUACUGAAGUAAUUCAAGUAGAGUUUCAAAUAAUUUCUCUUCAUAUGAAAUUUCAUUGAGGUAAAAAUGGCCGUCACAGAUUAAAUAAAAACUGUUGUGGCUCUAUACCUAAGAUACAUUAGUGUUUCCAGUCUUAACAGAUGUUCCAUCUGGUUUAGAAAGAUUGGGAUCUAGAUUUGUGACCAUAGCUAAUGAAACUUUGACAAAGCCAUGUCCUGUACUUGAGGACCUUAUUGAGCACUGUUCUCCAAGUUAACUAUUCCUAAAAGUGAUACCUGGUUGUUAUCUGUUACAUGUAUAGACCACCAAAUAUAAUAACUAAGCAAUGUGCAAAUUUAUACCUAACUUGGAAAUUUACACUGAAUCUUUGUGUACUGAUACAUACUGAAUUCUAUUAUAAUGUAUCUUAGUAACCCUUGGGAAUGGAUUGAAGUUACUUAAAAAUUUCUUUCAGGUGUUAAUUAUAUAAAUAUGACUUAAAUUUAAAACUGAACCUAAAAUGACUUCAUAAGUAUGUUUUAUGAAUUCUUAUAGAAAUCCAUACAGUAUUUGAAAAACAGAGUACCAUUGAUGUCUUUGAAUACCUCUUCUGGUAAUUUUGAGUAUGAGCUGAACUACAUUUUCUGGUUUUUUUUUUUGUUUGUUUUAAGAUUUAUUUAUUUGAGGCACCAUGGCUCACUAGGCUAAUCCUCCGCCUUGUGGCGCCGGCACACUGGGUUCUAGUUCUGGUUGGGGCGCCGGAUUCUGUCCCAGCUGCCCCUCUUCCAGGCCAGCUCUCUGCUGUGGCCCAGGAGUGCAGUGGAGGAUGGCCCAAGUCCUUGGGCCCUGCACCCGCAUGGGAUACCAGGAAAAGCACCUGGCUCCUGGCUUCAGAUCAGCACGAUGCGCCGGCCGCAGCGCGCGGGCCGUGGCGGCCAUUGGAGGGUGAACCAACGGCAAAAGAAAACCUUUCUCUCUGUCUCUCUCACUGUCCACUCUGCCUGUCAAAAAAUAAAAAAAUAAAAAAAAUAAAAAAGAUUUAUUUGAAAGGCAGAGUUAGGGGAAGACAGAGAGAUGGAGAUGGAGAUGGAAGAGAUAGAGAUAAUGGAGAUGGAGAGGGUGGAUCUUCUAUCCUCUUGUUCAGUUCUCAAAUGGGUGCAACAGCCAGGGCUGCACUAGGUUGAAGCUGGGAGCCUGGAACUCCAUGCAGGUCUCCCACAUGGGUGACAGGGGCCCAAGCACUUGGGCCAUCUUCUGCUGGUUUUUCCCGGGCCAUAGCAGAGAGCUGGAUGGGAAGUGGAGCAGUAGGACUUGAACUGGUGCCUGUGUGGGAGCCGGCACUGUAGAAGUGGCUUUACCUGCUAUGCUACAAUGGCGGUCCAAGCUUGUUUCUUCUUAAAAAGCCAAAAUCAGUGACCUCUGUGGCUACAAGUAGUACCUUCUCAGACUAUAUUGUACUUGAGAAAUUAAACCGUAAAUUAUAAUUAGAAUGAAAACUAUACACUGAUUCUUAUAAUAGACUCUAUUUGGUGAAAUAGAUCAACUAGACAUUGUGUGUGAGGUAAUUGUGUAGUUGAUGUUAUUAAUGUGAGUUUAAUACUUUGCAUCAUAUUUUCUUGUAUUAUCUACUGCUGCCUUUUACUUACUUUCAAGCUUGCAUCUGUUGUAGCCAGGAGAUGUUAUCACCCUGACUACAAAUGGUGCUUACCCCUUACUAUUGUAAUAGGUCACUGGUUGGUUCUGUUUGAGCUUGUCUGAAAUAAAUACUGUUACUGCUGAAAAUGUUAUCUUUAUACUGUAUUUAAAACUGUACUCCUGAGUCUUUCCAGUUUAUAAGGCCCACUUGGGUGGGGUCUCCAAAAAUCUUACUCAGUGACCUUAUGGUGAUAUUCAUCAGUGCAGAUUUUAGGAUCUAUUCUUAAGACCAAAUAAAAAAUAAAUUGGCUAACCUCACAUUAUAGCUGGUCUUGAUUAGCACAGAUGUAACCAUUGUAAAGCUGUGAUCUGGAAACCAGAAAAUAACCAGCUGAUGAAUAUGUGGGCAAAUUGGAAGCCUUGUGCACUGUUGGUGGCAAUGUAAAAUGGUGUGGUUGCUUUGGAAAACAGUAUGGUGAUUCCUCAAAAAGUUAAACAUGAAAUUGCUAUAUGACCCAGGAAUCCUAUUUUUGAGUAUAUUCAAAAAAGAAUUAAAGCAGGGUCUCGGAUUAUUAUACACCCAUAUCAUAGCAGUAUCAUUCGUAAAAGCCAAAGGGUGGAUAUAACCCACAUUUCCAUCAGCAGAUACAAAAUGUGGUCUGCACAUACAGUGCAAUAUUAGCCUAAAAAGAAAGGAAAUUUGACAUAGACCACAACAUAUAUAAGACUGUUUCAUAAUAUAACCUAUUUUUAAAGAUGACUUAUUGAUUUGAAAGAGAGGGAGAAACACAGAGAGAGAGAGUGAUAUCUUCCAUUCGCUGGUUCACGCUCCAGAUGGCCCCAAUAGUCAGGGCUGGACUAGGCCAAAGCCGGGAACUAGGAGCUUCCUUUGGGUCUCCCACAUGUGUGGCAGGGGCCCAAACACUUGGGCCAUCUUCUGCUGCUUCUCCCAGUCACAUGGGAGAGCUGGAUUUGAAAUAGAACAGCCAGGACAUGAACUGACACACAUGGGAUGCCGUGUGGCAGGUGGCAGCUUUACCUGCUCCACCACAACGCUGGCCCUAAUAUACAUGAAGCUUUUUGGCUCAUUUGUAAAUUCUCAAAGUUCUAUAUUAACCCUUUAGGUUGCUGCAAGUCAGUCCUAGAGCUGAUAAACUGAAAAAGUUAGGCUGGAGUAGACUGAUUUCGCUGUUGAGUAUGUGAAAUUGCUAGUUUGGAAUCUUUGUUUGUGGUUUGUUUUCCGUAAGCUCUGGCUCCCAGCAGAAUGUGGCUCUGUGCUUUGCUUUCUGUGUGACAAGGAUCACUUGGCUCUGUUGAAAUCAAGUGGGAUGGGCUCCCUUGUGUCUGGCUCUGGUUGGGAGGGACCUCAGACUCUGCCUCUCCAGUUCAGAGGACUCAGUUGACUGUGCCUUUGCAGCUUGGAGGGGGCUUUAGGUGGAGCCAUUGUAGUGGUUUACUGCCAGGGCUGCCAGAACAGAACACCUCCAAGCAGGCAGUUUAAAACAGCGGAAGUGUCUUCCCUCUCGGUGUGCAGGCUGGAGGUCCACAGUCGAGGUGUGAGCAGGGCUUCCUCUCAGAUGCCAGGUAGGAUCUUCCCAUGUCCCUUCCUAGCUCUGGUGGUGGUUCCCUGAGUUGCACCUGCAUGACAUCUACCACUGGCAUCUUGUCCCUGGAGUUUUCCCUCUAUGUCUGUCUGUGUCCAAAUUUCUCUUUUAUCAGGAAGCCAGCCAUUUUGGAUUAAGGGUCCGUUAUGACCUCUUUUUUUUUUUUGCAUAAUCACCCUAUUUCCAAAUGAACUUGCAUUUUGAGGUGUAGGGGAUUUGAACUUCCACAUAACUUUGGGAGACAAUAAUUCAAGCCACAACACUUGUGCUGUUUUUCUCUUCUGUAACAUGUUUUUUUAAAAAAAUUAUAGUUGGUCCAAUGUCAAUCUUAACUAAAAAAUGAAGGUAGUUUGUUUUCUUGAAGUUCGGGAAUGGGUAACCCUUCAGGUAGGGAAAUGAUGUGUUUAUGGAAACGUACUGUAAAGCAGGUUGUGAGACAAGUGAAUGGGCGGCUUCACUACAGGGAAGUAGGACAGAGUCUUCGGGGCUGACUUGUUAGGAAUGAGGUCACACAACCGGCUGCACCUUGCUGCAUGUUGUUUUAAGUGGGCCUUCGCUGUCUGCUCCGGUAACCCUGUGGGUAAUGCGUUUUCUCACUUGCCACAGUGCCAUAGGCUCAGGCUUUAGAGUGGACCACUGAAUUCUCUCCGCCUUAGUUUCCCCAUCCGUAGGAUGGAGCUUUGCCUCCCUGGCAAGGGCACAGCAAGUUGGGAGGAGAUAACGUGGGCACCGUGUCUGUUGGCUCUGUGUGUGUUGUCCCCCUUCUCUUCACUGGCCACACAAGAAGUGGCUCUUGGUGGUGUCGUUGGGCUUUGGUGCUCUGCCAACAGGAACGUCUUUGCUCCUGAGAUGCCAGAUUUUGUCCAGGGCUCAAAAAGUAGUUGCCAGGAAGAUGGCCAGAGGAGGCCUCUUGCUCCACCUAGAGGCUUUGUGGGAAGUUUCUCAGGGAAAGGGCCUCCUGCUUGAUGAAGAUGUGUGGAUGGCUGGGAGUCCUAGGAGGCCUCACUAAUGCAGUGCUAUGGUGUAGUGGUGCUCCAUCUGCCUCUCCCCAGGUGUUUGCAUAGGCCUUGGAUUUGGGACAUGGGGAGUAUGGGGGCAGGAUCUUAAUGUUUAGAAAAAGAAUUUUACAUAAAAUUUGACUUGACAUAAUUUAAAAAUUAAUUUUAUUUUCUUUAUUUGGAAGGCAGAGAGAGAGAGAGAGAUCGAUCAAUCUUCCAUAGGCUGAUUAACUCCCCAGUUGCCCCCAGCAGAAAGGACUGGGCUAGGCCAAAGCUGGGAACUCAAUCUGGAGUCUCAUGGCUGUGGCAGGGACCCAGCACUUGAACCAUCACCUACUGUCUUCCUGGGUACACAGAAGCAGUAAGCUGCAUCAGAAGUGGAGCCAGGACUCAGAUCUGGGGAUUCUGAUACAGGAUAUGCGUGUCCCCAAGUGUUGACUUAACCCCUACCAAACCCCUGCCCCAAUUUUAAAUUUUUAAGAAGUGUGCACAUUAUUUUAUAAACAGCAUAGUUUAAUAAAUACUCAUUACCAGUAUAUUUGAAGCAAUUUUUCCCCUUUCCAGUUACAACAUCAUGCAUAUGCUUUCUUUUGGAGGACUUUAAGAUUUAUUUAUUUAUUUGAAAGGCAGAGUUACAGAGAGGCAGAGAGAGACAGAGACAGAGAUCUUCCAUCUGCUGGUACACUCCCCAGAUGGCUGCAGUGGCUGGAGCUGAGCCAAUCCGAAGCUGGGACCCAGGAGCUUUUUCUGGGUCUCCCAAGCAGGUACAGGGGCCAGAGGACUUAGGCCAUCUUCCACUGCUUUCCCAGGCUGUAGCAGGAGCUGGAUUGGAAGUGGAGCAGCCAGGACUCGAACCAGCACCCCAUAUGGGAUGCCGGCCCUGCAGGCGGUGGCUUUACCUGCUGUGCCACGCACCAGCCCCAGGACUUUAUUCUUGACAUGUGGACAUAACACAUUUUCACUCAUCGGUUAUUGCAUGUAAAAGGCCACUUAGCUAAAUCUGUUUCUGAUUUUGUAAUUUGGAAAUGAUAAUAAUUUUACUAAUCUUAAAAUGUUUAUAAAGAUCAAUACAGAGGAUUUAGAUGUGUUAGUAGUUGGAUUAGAUAAUUUCUCAGAUUUAUUUCAACUGUGAGUUUCUUUGAUUUUUGAAAAUUGGCUCACAUUUAAAGAUGCUAAGUUUGGACACAUGCAGUACGUAACUUUGGGACCUUGUAAAAUGAGUUGUAUGAGGGCAUUUGUUUCACAUUCACAGAGCAGUGUAUAUGUGUGAGUGCAGGGUAUCUCACUCUUAUGGUCAGGAGUCGGUAUUUGUGGGGCUCUAAGUGUAUUGUUUUUGAGAAGGCUGGAAUUGCAAACUUGUGUUCUGCUAGGCAUGUUACACUGUUUGUACAGUAUAAACAGAUAGAUCCUGAAAUUGGCUGAAGAGUACCCUGCAUACUCAUGGCCUUCAGAUGGACAGUGUAUUUUGCAAAGUGUGGUGUCUGUGUUGAGAUAUCACUGUCUGGUACGAGAAGGAAGCAUAGAGAACAGGGUAUAAAAAUCAUAUAUUGCUGGGGCCAGCGAUGUGGCAUAGUGGGUAAAGCCUCCACCUGCAGUGCUGGCAUCACACAUGGGCACCUGUUGGAGUCUUGGCUGCUUCACUUCUGAUCCAACUCUCUGCUGUGGCCUGGGAAAGCAGUAGAAAAUAGCCGCAGGUCCUUGGGCCCCUGUACCUGCUUGGGAGACCUGGAAGAAGCUCCUGACUCCUGGCUUUGGAUCAACCCAGCUCCAGCCAUUGCGGCCAUUUGUGGGGUGAACCAGUGGAUGGAACGGAUGGAAUACUUUCUCUCUCUCUCUCUCUCUCUCUCUCUCUCUCUCUCUCUCUGCCUCUCUGUAGCGCUGCCUUUCAAAUAAGUAAAUAAAUAUUUUUAAAAAGCGUAUAUUGCUUUAAAAGAAAUAAUUAUCUUCAAGUAGGUAACUAGAAAUUUGAGAACUUAAUAGAGGGACCUGAAGAGUAGAUCUUGAAACAAAUUUUCUUGUCUAAACCCUUCCCCCAAUUUUUUUUUUAAAGUAAAAUUUCACUUAUGUGACUUAAGGCAAAGGAGACUCUAAUACUCUUACUUUGAGGCUCUGGUUGAAUAUUCUCCUGUCCAGAGGUGGAUGAUAGGAGGCUGAGGCUGUGAAAAUACCCUUGGGUUGUCCAUUUUCUUGUGUGUCACUGGAGAUUGUGGUAUGAGAUCAUGAGAAGAGCCGUAGCCCUUGCUUGGGAGACCUCAGGUGAGAGCUGGGCCUGGGAGAAUGCCACAGGCAGGGUCUGUGCCCCAUAAAUCGGUGUCACCUCUGAGCGGAUGAGUAAGCGACUGAAAGAAGGCACUUUGCGUUCCUUGCAACAGUCACCACCACUUUGUUCCUUGCAUCAAAGGAAAGAACAGAAUGUCUAAUUAUAAUAAUCUUCUAUUAAUUACAAUAUUUUGCAGUCGUUUUCUUUUAAAAAUCUAUUUGAGUAACUACUAGCCUUCAGAAGCUGUUGGAAAAUAGUAUUUAGGCAGCAGCUGGCAGCUCCCAGUGUUGGAAUCUGUAGUGCUGAGCUCGUGAGAGAUUCCAUUAGUUGGACAUACACUUUGAUGUCCUUACUGCCGCUGCAACGCAUUCUUGUGAGCAGCUGUUUUGGAAGGGGACACACAGUAAGCAUUUCCACACUUGUUUCAAGGAUGUGGGUUUUGCUGGAGUGUUGCCUGCCAUCUGGAAGGGAGAAGAGUGAGUGACUUAUUCCCAGAAAGGAAGGACUUGCCGUCUCCAUGUGUGUUCUCAGUGCACGUGGAGGUCCUCCCUUCAUUUCCCGUUCCCUGAGAGGAUAACUGACAGCUGCAGUCAUUUUGGCAUGUCAGAGCCUUAGCGGUGAGCUACAUGGAACACAGCAUUUGCAGAUGUGUGCUUUCCACUGGAUCUGCUCAGUGCUUCUAAUUUUCAAAACAGUGUUUUUCAUAGUGUCUAUUGAAACAGUAUUUUCGUUUAAAAUUUUUUUUCAAAUACUUCUCUCUUUUUUUUUAAGAUAAGAUUUACUUAUUUAUUUGACAGGCAGAAUUACAGAGGAGAGAUGGAGAGCGAGAGCUCUUCCAUCCCCUGGUUUAUUCCUCAGAUGGCUGUAACAGCUGGGCGUGGGCCAGGCCAAAGUCAGGGACCAGAAGCCUCAUCCGGAUCUCCCACAUGGGUGCAGGGGCCCAAAUACUUGGGCUGUCUUCCACUGCUUUCACAGCAGGGAGGGAGGUGGAUUGGAAGUGGAGAGGCCAGGACUGGAACCUGCAUCUGGUUGUUGACGUCAUAGGCAGCAGCUCAAUCCGCUAUAUGCCAUGAGGUGGGUCCUGAAACGGCAUUUUUAAGCAAAAGAAGAUUUGAUGUCAUCAACAAGUGAGACAAAAAUGCUUCCAUGUGUAAAAUAACAUAUGAAAGUCCUCCCUUUUUCCUAAAGCACGUGAGGGUCACUGUUGUCAGGGAGCAGCCAGGUUUGUCGCUUGUGCUUUAUUUUGUUUGGGUCCCAGCCAAUAAUUAAAUACUCCAUGUGUGUGUAAUAGCAGGUGCACAAUAGUUGGAGAGAGCAGUGGCAUUAAGGGACUGGUGGAGGUAGGUGGAGUACAAGAAAAUCCUCCUUAAAUGAGACAGCUGGCCAGGAGAUGGCUCAGCUGUAAUCGGAAUGGCAGCCACCUUAGCUUGAGGGUCUCCUAGGUGCAGGGCAUUAAUUGCUCUGCAUAGUAUGUAUAUCUCACUGAAUCCUGACACCAACCCUGGGGGUAACUACUGCCCCAUUUUACAGAUGGGGAAACAAGCAGAGAAAUGAACAACUUGCCCAGUGUCAUACAGCUUAGUAAGAGAUUCCAAUUUAGCCAGUCUGGAUCCAGAGUCAUGUUCUUACAGUGUUGUGCCAUCUUGGAAACACAGCUCUGGACUCUGAAGCUAUUGUAUUUUUAAAAUUAUACCGUUAGGUCCCCAAAUCAGGCAAAUGAAGUAAAUGAAAAUUAUCAGUAUGUUGAUGACUUAAGUAGCAGGUAAGAGAUUUUAUGGGAUUGUUAAAUAUUUACAGCAUGACAAAGCGCCAGUGUUGCUAGACUGCCUGCAGGAAUCUGUCCCUCUUAGGAGCUGGCUUGGGUAAAGGAAAUGUUUUCCCCAGACAUCUUCUGUAGUGUUGCAUUCUUGUAUCUUUCUGUGGGACCUGCCUGCUUGCUGGCUUUUGCUGCUGCUGAGUAGGCAAACAUACCUAGAGAGCGCCAUGGAAUAAGCUGUGCAAUUCAACGUUGAUUUAAGUGGAAGCUUUUUUGGUGAUUCAAAAAAGGAAAAAAAUACCUUCCUGUCUAUAUUUCCAUUCCUGGCACCUAAACCCAGCCUGUUUUACUUGGGGAUAGGCAUGGGGAUGUGGAAAACACUGAGAACAGGGGAGGUGAAUGUUGCUUUGAUAAUCAAGUGACUUCCAUGAGAAGCUAUUGUGGAGAAAAGGACAUUUCUUGUGGAUAUUGUGUAUAUAUAUAUAUAUAUAUAUAUAUACACA